rnacentral:rRNA from 1 species
GACGAACGCUGGCGGCGUGCUUAACACAUGCAAGUCGAACGAAGAGCGAUGGAAGCUUGCUUCUAUCAAUCUUAGUGGCGAACGUGUGAGUAACGCGUAAUCAACCUGCCCUUCAGAGGGGGACAACAGUUGGAAACGACUUCUAAUGCCGCAUACGAUCUGACCUCGUCAUCCAGGAUAGAUGAAAGGUGGCCUCUAUUUAUAUGCUAUCACUGAAGGUGGGGAUUGCGUCUGAUUAGCUAGUUGGAGGGGUAACGGCCCACCAAGGCGAUGCACAGUAGCCGGUCUGGGAGGAUGAACGGCCAAAUUGGGACCGAGACACGGCCCAGAACCCUACGGGAGGCAGCAGUGGGGAAUCUUCCGCAAUGGACGAAAGGCUGACGGGGCAAAGCCGCGGGAGGGAUGACGGCCUUCGGGUUGUAAAGCUCUGGUAAUCGGGACGAAAGGCCUUCUUGCGAAUAGUUAGAAGGAUUGACGGUACCGGAAUAGAAAGCCACGGCUAACUACGUG